CCUGCUCUCACCUGGUGACGUUUCUCACUGGGGCCUCCAAAUGUUGUACAUGAGCGAGUUAGAGAAAAUGCCACACUUUGAGACGAAUUAUAAGUCUAUUUAUUU
rnacentral:pre_miRNA from 13 species